rnacentral:rRNA from 1 species
CUCAGAUUGAACGCUGGCGGCAGGCCUAACACAUGCAAGUCGAGCGGUAGCACAGAGAGCUUGCUCUCGGGUGACGAGCGGCGGACGGGUGAGUAAUGUCUGGGAAACUGCCUGAUGGAGGGGGAUAACUACUGGAAACGGUAGCUAAUACCGCAUAAUGUCGCAAGACCAAAGUGGGGGACCUUCGGGCCUCAUGCCAUCAGAUGUGCCCAGAUGGGAUUAGCUAGUAGGUGGGGUAACGGCUCACCUAGGCGACGAUCCCUAGCUGGUCUGAGAGGAUGACCAGCCACACUGGAACUGAGACACGGUCCAGACUCCUACGGGAGGCAGCAGUGGGGAAUAUUGCACAAUGGGCGCAAGCCUGAUGCAGCCAUGCCGCGUGUGUGAAGAAGGCCUUCGGGUUGUAAAGCACUUUCAGCGGGGAGGAAGGCGGUAAGGUUAAUAACCUUGUCGAUUGACGUUACCCGCAGAAGAAGCACCGGCUAACUCCGUGCCAGCAGCCGCGGUAAUACGGAGGGUGCAAGCGUUAAUCGGAAUUACUGGGCGUAAAGCGCACGCAGGCGGUCUGUCAAGUCGGAUGUGAAAUCCCCGGGCUCAACCUGGGAACUGCAUUCGAAACUGGCAGGCUAGAGUCUUGUAGAGGGGGGUAGAAUUCCAGGUGUAGCGGUGAAAUGCGUAGAGAUCUGGAGGAAUACCGGUGGCGAAGGCGGCCCCCUGGACAAAGACUGACGCUCAGGUGCGAAAGCGUGGGGAGCAAACAGGAUUAGAUACCCUGGUAGUCCACGCCGUAAACGAUGUCGAUUUGGAGGUUGUGCCCUUGAGGCGUGGCUUCCGGAGCUAACGCGUUAAAUCGACCGCCUGGGGAGUACGGCCGCAAGGUUAAAACUCAAAUGAAUUGACGGGGGCCCGCACAAGCGGUGGAGCAUGUGGUUUAAUUCGAUGCAACGCGAAGAACCUUACCUGGUCUUGACAUCCACAGAACUUUCCAGAGAUGGAUUGGUGCCUUCGGGAACUGUGAGACAGGUGCUGCAUGGCUGUCGUCAGCUCGUGUUGUGAAAUGUUGGGUUAAGUCCCGCAACGAGCGCAACCCUUAUCCUUUGUUGCCAGCGGUUAGGCCGGGAACUCAAAGGAGACUGCCAGUGAUAAACUGGAGGAAGGUGGGGAUGACGUCAAGUCAUCAUGGCCCUUACGACCAGGGCUACACACGUGCUACAAUGGCAUAUACAAAGAGAAGCGACCUCGCGAGAGCAAGCGGACCUCAUAAAGUAUGUCGUAGUCCGGAUUGGAGUCUGCAACUCGACUCCAUGAAGUCGGAAUCGCUAGUAAUCGUAGAUCAGA